CUGCGGCUUUCCCUCUGCUUCUCUUUCCCCCUCCUGCUCUCCCUCGUCUCCCCCCUCUUCGGAGCGCUGGCGGCUUCCUCUGGGGGUUCUGCAGGGAGGGCGGAGGGCGUGGGUGUGUCACACUGAGGAGGAGGCCGCCUGCUGGGUGCAGGCAGGGGUCUUGGCUGGCUUCCUUUUGCAUCCGAGAACUCGAGAACUUGGGCAAUGCAGGACCCCGUCAUGGCUGCCGUCAAGAGCAUCCCAGUCGUGUCCUAGAAAUAAUCCAGCACCUUCGGGGCCAGAAGCGUGCUGACCUUGAGCUUUGGAUUCUAGUGAGAAAGGUGACCUGGUAUGCUUCAGAGGUCCCCAGGCCCCAGUAGUCAGGGACUGCUUAUGCAUCAACUGGGUUCAUCCUUUGUGGGAAAAGACAGAUUUGGUUGUGGCAGGACUUCCUUAGGAGGACUCUACUUGGAAUAAUGGUUGAAUAAAGGGAAGGUCAAAAUUCAAUUCACCUCUUGUGAAAGUGGGGACUUGCGCCCCAUGCUUGGUCCCCAGGGACGGUCACGAGGCUUAGGUGUGCCUGUUUAUGGCGGAGCACCUCACCGAGGUGGGAGAGCCCUGGACCAGUCCCCUGGAAUCCCAGAUUCAGGUCGUACUUGCAAGGAACUGUGUAGUGGGUGCCCUCCUAUGCCCUGGGCUUCCAUUUUUCUUUUCCUCCCCAAAGAGUUGUGCAGAUCUUCUGAAAUCGCCUAGUGAAAGAAUUUUGAAAUGUGUUCAUGGCACUCCAGGUUCCGGGGGUGAUAUUUUGAAGCCGCUUCUUUAUCAGGAACAUGCUUUAUUCUUCUCUCAAGUAUAACCGGACUCUUGAGUUAUUGUGAUCAAUUACCUGGAGACCCAGGUUGUUUGCUAUUAGAAGGCAAGUCUGGGCCUUUGCCGCGUUGCUUUCAGCAAUGUUCAGGUAUGUUGGCUGAGAAGGUUCCUCUCCCUGGUGUGGAAGUCAGUGUGGUAGCUAUAAAUAGCUAUUAUUUAAUGGUUGGCCCAGUUAAAGACCGAGGAGCUCAUGUGUUCUAGCUGGUCACGAAGAGCCAAGGAAUCCCAAACUGGUAGGCUUGCCUAAACCAUGAAGUGUAUAAAAUAAACAAAUCAAAGGCCAGACCCCACAGGUAGCUGUUCUUUUUGUUCCCAGUCCAGCCAGGGUGGAAGCCGGGAAAGGGAAGGUUUCUUUGGCCCAGCACACACGUUUACGCUAUCAAUCCACCUGUGUGUCCAUGAACAUCUGAUAAAUAAGGGAGGAGUCUCGUUGACUGUAACCAGGACGUUGGAUGGCCGAGGACGCCAUCAGGCUUCUUGAAGAGUCCUUGUUGGCUGGGGUUGGAGGAAGGUAGGGCGCUGACGUCCCAUUUGUGAUUGAUUAAAACUGUACCCGACCCUUAGGUUACCCACUGGCUUUGAGAAAACAGCAAAAACGCCUUUUUAAGGAGUCUUGACCUUUUAAAAUUUUGUUUUAAAAGAAAACGGUGUCUUCAGGGGAGGCAUCCUGUGUGGUGGGAAGGGGUUGGAUGCCGUCUAAGGGGCCGAGGGGACCUUGGACCAGCCAGUCCUUCUGGGCUGUAGUUGGGCAUCGUCAGAACAUUUCUUAGGGCAGUCUUGUGUUAUUCCUUAGUGACAGCCAAACAUGUGCACAAAACUGCUUUGGAAACUCAUCAGCUCUCUACAAAAGGGAGAUGUUAUUUAAAAAAGUCAUUAGGUGGGCGCUUGUUCAGUGACCUAUUUGGUAUCUACUCUGGGGUUGCUGUGGACUUAACGCUGUUUCUGACCAGCAGGUUGUUGAAGAAGCCGGGAGCAGGGGUGGUUUCUGGGUCCAGGUCUGGUAGCAAGUAAUUUAAGUGGCCUGGCCCCUCAUUUGUUGUUGUUGUUGUUGUUGUUUGUUUUUUCAAUCUGGAGAGAUCCUGCCUUUCUCAUAGGGAUUAUGAAAAAAAAAAAAGUAUUAAAAAAAAAAAGGAAAAAUACCAAAAAAACCAAUGAGGU